GAAGAAACAACAAAUCAAGCAAAAGAUUGCUAUCUAUCCUCUCUCAAACGCUGACCCAAGCACGACCAUGGGUUUCCUCUCUCAAACGCAGAACCAAGCUCGACCAUGGGUGCCAACGUUUUCAAUCUCCGACCCGGCUACCAUAUCAGAUCAUUCUCUCUAGGUUUUGUAAGAAAAUAUUGUGGAUAUGAAUGGGUUUUUUAGUGGAGAAAGUAUUGAAGAGCCUCCCAACCCUCAAAAUCUGACAACAAUCCUACAGGCUGGUGGAAAAUAACCAACCAAUAGUACAAAUGCCAAAGCAAUUCAAACCACAAGUGACAAUUCAAGAAGAGAUGAACAUCAACAGAAGAACCAUAAGUGAAAUAACAAAAGUUAUGUGGGACUCUGGUAAUGAGGUAAGAAAAAAGAAAACCUUGAACAAUAACAUUGUGUCCUUAACAUUGUUUUAUGUAAUAUAGACCUGCUUUUACAAAAUUUAACUAUAAAAUUAUGAAUUGAUUGAUAUCAAAUUCAAUUUCUAGGAAACUAUCUUUACCUGUUAGGGAAAG